rnacentral:tRNA from 1 species
CUUGCUAUGGUGUAACAAAGCACAAUGCCUUUUCAUGGCAUAAGCGUAGAAUUUACUAGCAGUA